rnacentral:rRNA from 1 species
GUAUCUUCCCUGGCCUGGAAUAACACGAGGAAACUUGUGCUAAUACUGGAUAAGUCUUUACGGAGAAAGCUUUAUGCACCAUUGGAUGAGCCUGCACUUGAUUAGUUUGUUGGUGGGGUAAAGGCCUACCAAGACUGUGAUCAAUAGCUGAUUUGAGAGGAUGAUCAGCCACAUUGGGACUGAGACACGGCCCAAACUCCUACGGGAGGCAGCAGUGGGGAAUCUUGCACAAUGGAGGAAACUCUGAUGCAGCGAUGCCGCGUGAGUGAAGAAGGCCUUUGGGUUGUAAAGCUCUUUCGUCGGGGAAGAAAAUGACUGUACCCGAAUAAGAAGGUCCGGCUAACUUCGUGCCAGCAGCCGCGGUAAUACGAAGGGACCUAGCGUAGUUCGGAAUUACUGGGCUUAAAGAGUUCGUAGGUGGUUGAAAAAGUUGGUGGUGAAAUCCCAGAGCUUAACUCUGGAACUGCCAUCAAAACUUUUCAGCUAGAGUUUGAUAGAGGAAAGCAGGAAUCUCUAGUGUAGAGGUGAAAUUCGUAGAUAUUAGAAAGAAUACCAAUUGCGAAGGCAGCUUUCUGGAUCAUUACUGACACUGAGGAAACGAAAGCAUGGGUAGCGAAGAGGAUUAGAUACCCUCGUAGUCCAUGCCGUAAACGAUGUGUGUUAGACGUUGGAAAUUUUAUUUUCAGUGUCGCAGCGAAAGCGAUAAACACACCGCCUGGGGAGUACGACCGCAAGGUUAAAACUCAAAUGAAUUGACGGGGACCCGCACAAGUAGUGGAGCAUGUGGUUUAAUUUGAAGAUACGCGCAGAA